rnacentral:rRNA from 1 species
AUUGAACGCUGGCGGCAGGCCUAACACAUGCAAGUCGAGCGGAUGAAGGGAGCUUGCUCCUGGAUUCAGCGGCGGACGGGUGAGUAAUGCCUAGGAAUCUGCCUGGUAGUGGGGGAUAACGUCCGGAAACGGGCGCUAAUACCGCAUACGUCCUGAGGGAGAAAGUGGGGGAGCUUCGGACCUCACGCUAUCAGAUGAGCCUAGGUCGGAUUAGCUAGUUGGUGGGGUAAAGGCCUACCAAGGCGACGAUCCGUAACUGGUCUGAGAGGAUGAUCAGUCACACUGGAACUGAGCCACGGUCCAGACUCCUACGGGAGGCAGCAGUGGGGAAUAUUGGACAAUGGGCGAAAGCCUUAUCCAGCCAUGCCGCGUGUGUGAAGAAGGUCUUCGGAUUGUAAAGCACUUUAAGUUGGGAGGAAGGGCAGUAAGUUAAUACCUUGCUGUUUUGACGUUACCAACAGAAUAAGCACCGGCUAACUUCGUG